AAAUGUAUAUUUUGGUGUAAAUACACAUUCAGUCGAUCUGCUUUUGUUUAUUUCCUUUAUUCUGAUUUGCUUUAACUCAUCAAUAAUUAAGACGUUGGUUUGGUGUGAGGAACGUAGCGUAGCAUCAGUGAAUCUGUGAUCGAUCUCAUUGGUCUGCUGAAUAAACUUCAUGAAUCCUGGUUUGGUCUGAACGGAUGAAACCAGGAUGGAGUCAAGUCGGGAUCAUCUGAUUAUUGAUUAAUUGAUUUUUAUUUGUUCCCUGCAGGCGUGGGAACCCGCUCCACCUUUGCUCAGAGCGCUAUCAGAAGAUCGAGCGUCUGUGGCGGCAGCACGGCAUUGCUGAGGUCAUAGGUCAUGCUCAGGAGGCCAAUCAGACGCUGGUUGCCAUCGACUGGCAGCACCUGUGACCGCGGACUGGCCCUGCCCACUAACGAACCUCUUUGAACCAAUCAGCUCGCUGCAGCUGCAACCUGAAUCCUCCAAUCAGACAUCACCUCUUCAGGAGUUGUCGUGAUUGGCUGGAGGUCAGGUGAUUUAUGUCAGGUGUACAUUGCAUUUUGAUAGACUGGGUCUCCAUGGCAACCCAGGUGACAGUAAUCGGCUUACUCCCUGAGACAUCAUUAUGAAAACUUCAGCCAAUCGGAAGCCAGAACUGUGCGAACGACGCCGUUGGUCCACCGUCUCCAUGGCAACCAGGUCGAUGAGCCGAGUCUGAUCGGGUUUUAUUCACUUCCGCUUUAAUGUUUUAAUUAACGAGGUGAGCGUGUGACAUCACUUCCCGUUUGUGUGUUUGAGUUUGGGGAGGCGGAGCGUCAGAACCGGACCAGAACCGGACUGGGUCCGGCUGAUGCUCCGUCUUGGUAAUGUCACUUUAACCUGUAGAACAGAACCAAUAAAAUGGGCUUUAAAGAA